GAUGCAGAGGAUAAAAUCCAGGGCAAAAUCCAUCCCCCCAUCCUGGGGGAGGAGGUUCCCCUGAGCAGGAAGUAAAGCUGGAUAUCAGCAGUCAAGGCAAUCCACUCAGAGCAUGCCAAGCCCCA